GAUGAACGCUGGCGGCGUGCCUAAUACAUGCAAGUCGAACGAGUUCUGAUUAUUGAAAGGUGCUUGCAUCUUGAUUUAAUUUUGAACGAGUGGCGGACGGGUGAGUAACACGUGGGUAACCUGCCCUUAAGUGGGGGAUAACAUUUGGAAACAGAUGCUAAUACCGCAUAAAUCCAAGAACCGCAUGGUUCUUGGCUGAAAGAUGGCGUAAGCUAUCGCUUUUGGAUGGACCCGCGGCGUAUUAGCUAGUUGGUGAGGUAACGGCUCACCAAGGCAAUGAUACGUAGCCGAACUGAGAGGUUGAUCGGCCACAUUGGGACUGAGACACGGCCCAAACUCCUACGGGAGGCAGCAGUAGGGAAUCUUCCACAAUGGACGCAAGUCUGAUGGAGCAACGCCGCGUGAGUGAAGAAGGCUUUCGGGUCGUAAAACUCUGUUGUUGGAGAAGAAUGGUCGGCAGAGUAACUGUUGUCGGCGUGACGGUAUCCAACCAGAAAGCCACGGCUAACUACGUGCCAGCAGCCGCGGUAAUACGUAGGUGGCAAGCGUUAUCCGGAUUUAUUGGGCGUAAAGCGAGCGCAGGCGGUUUUUUAAGUCUGAUGUGAAAGCCCUCGGCUUAACCGAGGAAGUGCAUCGGAAACUGGGAAACUUGAGUGCAGAAGAGGACAGUGGAACUCCAUGUGUAGCGGUGAAAUGCGUAGAUAUAUGGAAGAACACCAGUGGCGAAGGCGGCUGUCUGGUCUGUAACUGACGCUGAGGCUCGAAAGCAUGGGUAGCGAACAGGAUUAGAUACCCUGGUAGUCCAUGCCGUAAACGAUGAAUGCUAGGUGUUGGAGGGUUUCCGCCCUUCAGUGCCGCAGCUAACGCAUUAAGCAUUCCGCCUGGGGAGUACGACCGCAAGGUUGAAACUCAAAGGAAUUGACGGGGGCCCGCACAAGCGGUGGAGCAUGUGGUUUAAUUCGAAGCAACGCGAAGAACCUUACCAGGUCUUGACAUCUUUUGAUCACCUGAGAGAUCAGGUUUCCCCUUCGGGGGCAAAAUGACAGGUGGUGCAUGGUUGUCGUCAGCUCGUGUCGUGAGAUGUUGGGUUAAGUCCCGCAACGAGCGCAACCCUUAUGACUAGUUGCCAGCAUUUAGUUGGGCACUCUAGUAAGACUGCCGGUGACAAACCGGAGGAAGGUGGGGAUGACGUCAAAUCAUCAUGCCCCUUAUGACCUGGGCUACACACGUGCUACAAUGGAUGGUACAACGAGUUGCGAGACCGCGAGGUCAAGCUAAUCUCUUAAAGCCAUUCUCAGUUCGGACUGUAGGCUGCAACUCGCCUACACGAAGUCGGAAUCGCUAGUAAUCGCGGAUCAGCACGCCGCGGUGAAUACGUUCCCGGGCCUUGUACACACCGCCCGUCACACCAUGAGAGUUUGUAACACCCGAAGCCGGUGGCGUAACCCUUUUAGGGAGCGAGCCGUCUAAGGUGGGACAAAUGAUUAGGGUGAAG
rnacentral:rRNA from 2 species